rnacentral:tRNA from 1 species
UCCCCGGUGACUCAGUGGUAAAGGAUCUGCCUGCAAUGCAGGAGACUCAAGUUAGAUUCCUGGGUUGGGAA